GAUGAACGCUGGCGGCGUGCCUAAUACAUGCAAGUCGAGCGAACAGACGAGGAGCUUGCUCCUCUGACGUUAGCGGCGGACGGGUGAGUAACACGUGGAUAACCUACCUAUAAGACUGGGAUAACUUCGUGAAACCGGAGCUAAUACCGGAUAAUAUAUUGAACCGCAUGGUUCAAUAGUGAAAGACGGUUUUGCUGUCACUUAUAGAUGGAUCCGCGCCGCAUUAGCUAGUGGGUAAGGUAACGGCUUACCAAGGCGACGAUGCGUAGCCGACCUGAGAGGGUGAUCGGCCAGACUGGAACUGAGACACGGUCCAGACGCCUACGGGAGGCAGCAGUAGGGAAUCUUCCGCAAUGGGCGAAAGCGUGACGGAGCAACGCCGCGUGAGUGAUGAAGGUCUUCGGAUCGUAAAACUCUGUUAUCAGGGAAGAACAAAUGUGUAAGUAACUAUGCACGUCUUGACGGUACCUAAUCAGAAAGCAACGGCUAACUACGUG
rnacentral:rRNA from 1 species